rnacentral:rRNA from 1 species
AAUCAACGCUGGCGGCGUGCCUCAGACAUGCAAGUCGAACGCGAAAGUUCCCUUCGGGGGAUGAGUAGAGUGGCGCACGGGUGAGUAACACGUAGGUAAUCUACCUUCGGAUGGGGAAGUAACAACCGGAAACGGUUGCUAAUACCGCAUAAUGCAGCGGCACCUAAUGGUGACAGUUGUUAAAGCGGGGGAGUCGAAAGACCUCGCGUCUGAAGAGGAGCCUGCGGCGGAUUAGCUAGUUGGUAGGGUAACGGCCUACCAAGGCUACGAUCCGUAGCCGGCCUGAGAGGGCGGUCGGCCACACUGACACUGACAUACGGGUCAGACUCCUACGGGAGGCAGCAGUCGGGAAUUUUGGGCAAUGGGCGAAAGCCUGACCCAGCAACGCCGCGUGAAGGAUGAAAUCCCUCGGGAU